AUGGCGUUUGUGUUGUCGAUGUGCUUGCAGCCCCCACCCCCACCAGACCACGAGGCUCCAGCCUCAACGCCCAACUCAACUCAACUCGCCACUUUACCCAGUUGCACAAUUGAACCUGUGACCCCGGCAGGCACCCCCCCAUCAUCCCGACCCCCACCCCAGAGAGUCCUCACUGCACGCUACCACCACCCUGAGACCAAGCCACCUAGAGGCGGUGGCCUCCACCCACAAGCUGCGACUCGUCCCACUCUCACGGUGCUGCCACCCUCCAGAGAGGAGCUGCAGCAGGGUAAGGCUACAGUGCUGUGUGUGGCCAGUAAAGGAUUCCCCUCUGACUGGAAGCUGAGCUGGAAGGUGAAUGGCUGCAGCAGGAGCUCUGGUGUCAAUCUGAGUCCCAGUCAGCUGCAGAAUGAUGGACUGUACAGCUGGAGCAGCAGCCUGAGCCUCACUGAGAGUGAGUGGAGCAGAGCAACAACCAUCAGCUGUGACGCUACUCACCCGUCCCACAAUGCAGUGACCAAAAGCCUCAACACACAGCAGUGCGAUGAUGACCAGUGAAAUACACACAUUGGCACACUGACCUAAAUCAGCCACAGCUCAACAACCAAUCUUUUUAGGCUGUUAGUGUAU